GAUGAAGAACGUAGCGACACGCGAUAAGUAAUGUGAAUUGCAGAAUCCAGUGAAUCAUCGAAUCUUUGAACGCACAUUGCGCCCGCCAGCAUUCUGGCGGGCAUGCCUGUUCGAGCGUCAUUUCAACCCUCGACCUCCCCUUGGGGAGGUCGGCGUUGGGGACCGGCAGCACACCGCCGGCCCUGAAAUGGAGUGGCGGCCCGUCCGCGGCGACCUCUGCGCAGUAAUACAGCUCGCACCGGGACCCCGACGCGGCCACGCCGUAAAACACCCAACUUCUGAACGUUGACCUCGAAUCAGGUAGGACUACCCGCUGAACUUAAGCAUAUCAAUAAGCGGAGGA
rnacentral:misc_RNA from 1 species